rnacentral:tRNA from 1 species
ACGGUUGCUAAUACCCCGUAGGCUGAGGAGCAAAAGGAGGAAUCCGCCCGAGGAGGGGCUCGUGUCUGAUUAGUUAG